CUUGGGAGGAGAAACGUUUUUAGCGCGGUAAAACAGAUCCAGAUUGACCACUACCUCGAGAGUCAGAAGUUUCUGGCAUCAUUUUUAACCUCCUUUUUUUAAAUCUUGAAAAAUUAUUGAGCUCGUUCAACAAAUCUUAAGGCAUAAAAGGAGGUGAAAAUAUUUGUUAGUGUAAGAGAAAUUGACUUUAACGCAAUUUUCAUGUUUAAGGGCAGAUUUAUCUCAAUAAAAUUGAAUAAAUUAUAAA